AUGUUAAACCCUAGUCCAUUCCUCCUAAACCCAAGCCGCACCUUUCCACCUAGAAGCCCUAUUUUACAAACCCUAAACCCUAGUCCACUUAAGUGCCGCACCUAACCCUAGCCCAUUGUUAAAAAUCUGAUUUCAUUAGGGUUUCUAAGUGCCUAUAUAUACCACCCUCUACACAAAAUCAGAAGAUAUAUCCCUUUCCCCACCUUGCCGCAGCCACCAUCACCCAAAAUCCUUCCUUGCCGCAGCCAUUCAUCCAUUCCAGCAACUACCACCCUUUGCCGCACCACCAUACACCUCCCUUACCCUUUGCCGAACCACCAUAUCAUCCCAAAUCCAUCCCUAAACCGAAAUCACAUCCAACAGCCCCUAAACCCUCACUGCCGCAGCAAGGAGAAGAAGAAAGAGGAGCUUUCUGUGCAGAUUUC
rnacentral:lncRNA from 1 species